rnacentral:misc_RNA from 1 species
GAUGAAGAACGCAGCGAAAUGCGAUACGUAAUGUGAAUUGCAGAAUUCAGUGAAUCAUCGAAUCUUUGAACGCAUAUUGCGCUCUCUGGUAUUCCGGAGAGCAUGCUUGUUUGAGUAUCAGUAAACACCUCAACUUCCAUAUCUUUUUUGAAAUGGGAGUUGGACUUGAGUGAUCCCAACGCUUUUCCUCACCGAAAAGUGGCGGGUUACUUGAAAUGCAGGUGCAGCUGGACUUUUCUCUGAGCUAUAAGCAUAUCUAUUUAGUCUGCCUAAAAAACAGAUUAUUACCUUUGCUGCAGCUAACAUAAAGGAGAUUAGUUCUUGUGCUGACUGAUGCAGGAUUCACAAAGACAGGCUUCGGCCGACUUUGUAAACUCGAUCUCAAAUCAAGUAAGACUACCCGCUGAACUUAAGCUUAUCAAUAAGCGGAGGA